GGCCUCAGAGAUUCCGGAAGGUGCUUCCUUACUUCUGAGCCACCUGCGUGGGAGGAAGCUGAGGACGUGAAGCUCCACCUCAGAUCAUCAGGGAUUAGAUCCCAGAGGUUGGGAACCCCUGUCCUAGAGAACCUGUCUGCAAAGCCUAAAAUAUUUGCCAGCUGGCCCUUUACAGAGAAAGUUUGUGGAUACCUGCUUGGAUGCACAGUGCUUGGUUUGGAGCGUGGCGACAGACGGGCUGAGCUGAGAACUGGAGCUGUCGGAAGGACGGGCACACUCUCCCAGUUCAACAAUCUGCCUGCAGGAAUCUGAAAGAGACUCAGGAUAUCUUAACUCUUCGAGGAAGCGGUGGGUUUUCGGAACAUCACGGAAAUUCUCUCGUGCAGGUUACCGCAUGGUUGAUGAAGGGAUGCAAGGCUCUAGCUACAAGCCAGCUGGCAUGGUGGGGCGGGAAGAGCACUGCUCUGCGGUCUGUAAUGAAUGACUAGGUCCAGGCGCGACCCACCAGUGGCUGCCAACAUCACAAGAAGAGAUGAGACAUCAUACACCUCCUGAUGGAAGUGAGUGAUACCACCCACAGAGGAGUGCUGCCAAAAAAUAAAAACAAAAAAACCCUGAUCUCUUGUUUUGCCUCAUUUAUAG
ensembl:lncRNA